rnacentral:pre_miRNA from 1 species
UAAAUACUCCCUCCGUCCGGAAAUACUUAUUAUCAAAAUGAAUAAAAGGGGAUGUAUCUAGACGUAUAUUAGUUCUAGAUACAUCCCUUUUAUCCAUUUUGAUGACAAGUAUUUUCGGACGGAGGGAGUAUAAG